rnacentral:rRNA from 1 species
AACGAACGCUGGCGGCAUGCCUAACACAUGCAAGUCGAACGAUUGCCUUCGGGUGAUAGUGGCGCACGGGUGCGUAACGCGUGGGAAUCUGCCCUUAGGUUCGGAAUAACAGCUGGAAACGGCUGCUAAUACCGGAUGAUAUCGCGAGAUCAAAGAUUUAUCGCCUGAGGAUGAGCCCGCGUUGGAUUAGGUAGUUGGUGGGGUAAAGGCCUACCAAGCCGACGAUCCAUAGCUGGUCUGAGAGGAUGAUCAGCCACACUGGGACUGAGACACGGCCCAGAAUCCUACGGGAGGCAGCAGUGGGGAAUAUUGGACAAUGGGCGAAAGCCUGAUCCAGCAAUGCCGCGUGAGUGAUGAAGGCCCUAGGGUUGUAAAGCUCUUUUACCCGGGAAGAUAAUGACUGUACCGGGAGAAUAAGCCCCGGCUAACUCCGUG